rfam:Macrostomum lignano uti_cns_0002155, whole genome shotgun sequence.
AAAACGGCCCUUUUAAGGGCCUAAAACAAACUAGGGCAUAUUUU